UUUCGAUGAUGACAAAUCUAAGGCUUGUUUCUCAAAACAUUCGCGGUGGCCGACUUAGAUCUUUCGCCUUCGCCAGGCUUGAGAGAUGGUGCUGCUUCAUUCCUUCCUUGGAUGUCUGAGAUA